rnacentral:rRNA from 1 species
UACGGGGGGGGCAAGCGUUGUUCGGAAUUACUGGGCGUAAAGGGCCAGUAGGCGGCCAACUAAGUCCGACGUGAAAUCCCAAGGCUUGACCUUGGAACUGCGUCGGAUACUGGAUGGCUUGAAUUCGGGAGAGGGAUGCAGAAUUCCAGGUGUAGCGGUGAAAUGCGUAGAUAUCUGGAGGAAUACCGGUGGCGAAGGCGGCAUCCUGGACCGACAUUGACGCUGAACGGCGAAAGCUAGGGGAGCAAACGGG